rnacentral:rRNA from 1 species
UACGGAGGGUGCGAGCGUUGUCCGGAAUCAGCUGGGCGUAAGGCGCGUAGGCGGUUGGGAAGUCCGUGGUGAAAGCUCGUGGCUACAACUGGCGAGUCGGCCAUGGAUACUCCUUAGACUUGAGCACUGGUAGAGGCAGGUGGAAUUCCGGGUGUAGCGGAUGGAUGCGUAGGAGAAUCCGGAAGAACACCGGUGGCGGAAGGCGGCCUGCUGGGACAGUGAGCUGGACGCUGAGGCGCGACAGCGGUGGGGAGCAAACAGG